GACGAACGCUGGCGGCGUGCUUAACACAUGCAAGUCGAACGGAAAGGCCCUGCUUUUGCGGGGUGCUCGAGUGGCGAACGGGUGAGUAACACGUGAGUAACCUGCCCUUGACUUUGGGAUAACUUCAGGAAACUGGGGCUAAUACCGGAUAGGAGCUCCUGCUGCAUGGGGGGGGUUGGAAAGUUUCGGCGGUUGGGGAUGGACUCGCGGCUUAUCAGCUUGUUGGUGGGGUAGUGGAUUACCAAGGCUUUGACGGGUAGCCGGCCUGGGAGGGUGGCCGGCGACAGUGGGACUGAGAUACGGCGCAGACUCCAACGGGACGCAGCAGUGGAGAAUAUUGCACAAUGGGCGGAAGCCUGAUGCAGCAACGCCGCGUGCGGGAUGACGGCCUUCGGGUUGUAAACCGCUUUCGCCUGUGACGAAGCGUGAGUGACGGUAAUGGGUAAAGAAGCACCGGCUAACUACGUG
rnacentral:rRNA from 1 species